GAUACCAAACACAAAAAUUUAAGAAGAGUUGUUCCUAAAUUUAUUUGUCAAUAAAUAUCAAUCAGUUCAAGUGUUAGGACCUAAGCCCCUAACUAUUCUUCAAGGUCUUUCUUAAUACCAAUUUAAGAUUUAAGAAAAAAAAUAUUUAUUAAAUUCAUUUCAAAUUUAGCUUGAUACCAAUGCAAGGUCAUGAAUAUUGAAAAAUUUUUCGAAACAAGAUAACAUGAAUGCUCCCAUAAAUUGA
rnacentral:lncRNA from 1 species